UACGUAGGGGGCAAGCGUUGUCCGGAAUGACUGGGCGUAAAGGGCGUGUAGGCGGCCGAUUAAGUCUGGAGUGAAAGUCCUGCUUUCAAGGUGGGAAUUGCUUUGGAGACUGGUUGGCUUGAGUGCGGAAGAGGUAAGUGGAAUUCCCAGUGUAGCGGUGAAAUGCGUAGAGAUUGGGAGGAACACCAGUGGCGAAGGCGACUUACUGGGCCGUAACUGACGCUGAGGCGCGAAAGCGUGGGGAGCGAACAGG
rnacentral:rRNA from 1 species